AGUUCACGCCUGCUCAAUGAUUUGCGGGAUUGAAUAGCCGCGGUACCCUGACCGUGCAAAGGUAGCAUAAUCAUUUGCUCUAUAAUUGGGAGCUGGGAUGAAGGGUGAGACGAGGGCUUGGCUGUCUUUCUAUUUUUAAUUGUAAAUUAAUUUUUAUGUGAAGAGGCAUAAAUUGUUGAAAAGGACGAGAAGACCCUAUUGAGCUUAAGUUUAAGUGUUUAGAGUAAGAUGGGCGUAUAAAUUAUAUAGCUUAUGCGUCAACGGCUUUAGUUGGGGAGACUGAGGAAUAUAAAUGAAUUUCCUUAAUACUUAUUGAAAUUAUAGUUUAAUGACCCACUAUAGGUAGUGAUUAGAAGAUAUAGUUACCAUAGGGAUAACAGCGUAAUUUUUUCUGAGAGUUCUAAUCGAAGGGGAAGAUUGCGACCUCGAUGUUGGAUUAAGAGUUCUUAGGGGGGCAGGCAUUCCUAAAGUAAGUCUGUUCGACUUUUAAAAUCUUACA
rnacentral:rRNA from 1 species